UUCCAGAAUGCCAAGGUUAUUAGAGGCUUUCCAACUUUGAUGGGAACUUGGGGUCAGGUCCCAGCCACAGUCCCUAUAUGCAUGGUUUCCAUCUGUACUGCAUAAGUGAGCUGACACUUGUCACCUCUUCCUACUUCCACAAAGUUGCCAGUGUCAUGACUCCCCCAUUAUAAUAGACUGUAUCUCCAAACUGUAA